AAGCAGUUUUGUAUAAAAUCCUGCUAUCUGGACCCUAAAUCCACAACCUCACCUUGUCUACCAACAUUUAAUUUAUUCAUAGACAUGUACAGCCGGCUGAACAAAAGGUAUCUCAACUGAUUCAAUGCAUCUAUGUGCUUAAUGCUAUUAUGCCACCUGGUGGCUACAGUAAGUAUUACAUCUAGUUAUAAACUUCAGGUUUCUUCUGCUUUUGUAGUUUCACCCCUGGGGGUGCUUGGUACUGCAAAUCAGCAUAAUUAAUAUUUGUUUUAUAUAGCCCCAUCACUUUCUGCAGCGCUGUACAAAGGGUAGACAGGACAUAAGAUAACAUACAGAAACAGGCAAGGAGGAUUUCCCUAAAAUAAACCAAAUAUCCCAAAUCUGCAAAAUUAAUGAAAAAGAGUAAUUGAACAGAAAAGAGUAUAACAUAUAGCCAAAACAUUGUUUUAUUUCCAUUGGAAAACACACAGUAUCCAUAUAUUAAAAGCAAAAGGUGAAGGAAAAAAAAAAAA